rnacentral:lncRNA from 1 species
CCAAGACAGAGAGAGCAGUUACUGUGUUGAAUUAAUGAUAUAAGAAGAAAGUGGGAUUUUAAUGGAGGCGUGGGUAUUCGCAUCGAUGCGCAGUGGUUCGUGCACAUCUGAUUGGCUGCCAGCUGUCCUAAGCGAUUGCCAGACAUACUCAGGUUUUAUAGUUUGAAGAUGCUGGUUAUAGACCCUGGAAGUGAUUAGGAGAAGGCUGUGCUUGGAAGCUGCCCUCAGCAAUGCUGAGUGAGGCCUGCCUUCCAUGGAGGUGAGGGGCAAGCUUCACUUGGCUUUUGAGACAAAGGAAAACUGCAGGCAACCUGGUCAGGGACUCUUCUGUUUAUGGUGAGGGAUAUCUAAAGAGAAAACAUGAGGCGAGUGACAGAAGUGAUACCAGUAGCUUCUGUCAGGAAAACCUCAGGCUGCCCACUGGAAUCAAAGGAAGCAGCAACAAGCCUGUGCCCAAGCCUCUGUGGAAAGCCACAGAAGACCUGCGCAGCUCUGUUCUAGUGAAGAUGUUGGCACGUUCAUCUGACUGGCGCUCUCAUCUUAAAAAACAGACGAGCUUACUCUGGGAAGUCAGGAGAAGG